GUUGGGCACAGGGCCUCGCCGGGCUCGCGGCUGCCUGGGCGCGGCUGGACCCACGUCUUCAGGUCGCGCGGCGCGGACCCCGGCGGCGCCCUGGGCGCGCUUCUCCGCCUGGCUGGAGUGUGUGUGCGUGGUCACCUUCGACCUGGAGCUGGGCCAGGCGCUGGAGCUGGUGUAUCCGAACGACUUCCGGCUCACAGACAAGGAGAAAAGCAGCAUCUGCUACCUGUCUUUUCCCGACUCGCACUCAGGCUGCCUUGGAGACACUCAGUUCAGCUUCCGCAUGCGCCAGUGUGGAGGGCAGAGGAGCCCCUGGCAUGCCGACGACAGGCACUACAACAGCAGGGCCCCUGUGGCACUGCAGAGGGAGCCGGCACACUACUUCGGCUACGUGUACUUCAGGCAGGUGAAGGACAGCUCUGUGAAGAGGGGCUACUUCCAGAAGUCUUUGGUGCUGGUGUCCCGCUUGCCCUUUGUCCGGCUGUUCCAAGCGCUGCUAAGCCUCAUCGCCCCCGAGUACUUUGACAAGCUGGCGCCCUGCCUGGAAGCAGGUGAGUGGCCAUCAGUCGUGGCCAUCGUGGUCUCAUCAUCCCAGCUGUGGCCCCUGGUGGGCUCGGCAGCAGCUUCUCCUUGGGGAGGGUCCUGAUGCGGGCUACUGCAUCCGCAGUGUGCAGUGAGAUCGACCAGUGGCCGGCGCCUGCACCUGGGCAGACCCUGAACCUACCUGUCAUGGGCGUUGUUGUCCAGGUGAGAGCCAGCUGGCUGGGGAGUAGGCUCUGCAGGUGUGUGGGGAUGCCCUACUCCCUCUGGCAGCUGCUCCCUCCUUCUCCCAGGUGCGCAUCCCAUCCAGGGUGGACAAGUCCGAGUCCAGUCCUCCGAAGCAGUUUGACCAAGAGAACCUGCUGCCAGCCCCAGUGGUUCUUGCUAGCGUCCACGAGCUGGACCUGUUCAGGUGCUUCCGGCCUGUGCUGACUCAUAUGCAGACACUGUGGGAGCUCAUGCUCCUCGGGGAGCCCCUGCUAGUCCUGGCACCCUCGCCCGACGUGUCCUCGGAGAUGGUGCUGGCCUUGACCAGCUGCCUGCAGCCCCUCAGGUUCUGCUGCGACUUCCGUCCCUACUUCACCAUCCAUGACAGCGAGUUCAAGGAGUUCACCACACGCACGCAGGCCCCACCAAACGUGGUCCUGGGAGUCACAAACCCUUUCUUUAUCAAAACACUCCAGCACUGGCCCCACAUCCUCCGAGUCGGGGAGCCCAAGAUGUCAGGAGACCUGCCUAAGCAAGUCAAGCUGAAAAAGCCUUCAAGGUUGAAGACCCUGGACACCAAGCCAGGUCUGUGCUCCCCUCGACCUGGAGCCCCUCCACCGUGGAGAGGCCUGUCUUGUACCUGGCGGGUCUCUCGGGUGGGGCAGCCAGGCCCCCAGACCCCUGAUCCUCUUCCAGGACUCAGCAGCAGAGCUCAGAACCCUUGGGGAGGGGUCGCUCUCUUCUCUUCAGUGGGUCUCGGUGUCUGGGGGGUGGGUGGGUGAGAUUUUCAGGUGCAGCCAAGGGCAUGGGGCUGCAGGCAGAUGAGACCCCCACCCUGGCUCCUCUGUGGGGCUGCAGGAGUGUGGGAGGGAGGCCCUUGAAGGGUGGGGCGCCAGCUGUGCCCUCCCGCCAGGCCUCUACACCGCUUACACGGCCCACCUCCACCGCGACAAGGCGCUGCUCAAACGGCUGCUCAAGGGCGUGCAGAAGAAGCGGCCGUCAGAUGUGCAGAGCGCCCUGCUGCGGCGGCACCUCCUGGAGCUCACCCAGAGCUUCAUCAUCCCCCUGGAGCACUACAUGGCCAGCCUCAUGCCCCUGCAGAAGAGCAUCACGCCCUGGAAGACUCCCCCCCAGAUCCAGCCCUUCAGCCAGGAUGACUUCCUGCGUAGCCUGGAGCAUGCUGGGCCCCAGCUCACCUGCAUCCUCAAGGGCGACUGGCUGGGUCUCUACAGGCGGUUUUUCAAGUCCCCCCAUUUUGAUGGCUGGUACCGGCAGCGGCACAAGGAGAUGGCCCUGAAGCUGGAGGCCCUGCACCUGGAGGCUAUCUGUGAGGCGAACAUCGAGACCUGGAUGAAAGACAAGUCCGAGGUGGAGGUCGUGGACCUGGUCCUGAAACUUCGUGAGAAGCUGGUGCGGGCUCAGGGCCACCAGCUCCCUGUGAAGGAGGCUACGCUGCAGCGGGCACAGCUGUACAUCGAGACGGUCAUCGGCUCCCUGCCCAAAGACCUGCAGGCUGUCUUGUGCCCUCCCUAGAACAAAGCCAAGGGCCACGGUCCCAGGGCCCUAGGUCUGCCUGAGCCUCCCACUCCCCAGUGGUGGCGGCACUGGGCCAAGCACACGCUCCCCUUCCUUGGCCCCCCGCCCAGACUGCAGGCUCCCCUUCCUGCACCACCAUUGUCUCAGCAGUAAAGGCGACAUUUGGAACC
rnacentral:lncRNA from 1 species